rnacentral:tRNA from 1 species
AUUUAAGUAAUUUAAUAUUAAAAUUUUGAUUUGUGGUAUCAAAUAUGUAAGAAUUUUACCUUAAAUU